UACGGAGGGUGCAAGCGUUAUCCGGAAUCACUGGGUUUAAAGGGUGCGUAGGCGGCCCUGUAAGUCAGUGCUGAAAUAUCCCGGCUUAACCGGGAGGGUGGCAUUGAUACUGCGGGGCUAGAGUACAGAUGAGGUAGGCGGAAUUGACGGUGUAGCGGUGAAAUGCUUAGAUAUCGUCAAGAACACCUAUAGCGAAGGCAGCUUACUAGGCUGUAACUGACGCUGAGGCACGAAAGUGUGGGGAUCAAACAGG
rnacentral:rRNA from 1 species